rnacentral:lncRNA from 1 species
CGACUUUGGCACAUGGCUUCGCUAUACUCCUAUCGGGUUGUGGUGACGCGUGCUAGCGUGGCGACUCCGUCCGACGAUGCACUGGGCGCCGAUAGACCUGACCGUGCCCGCGUGUCUCGUUCCACGCUAAAGCCACCUGAUGAGGCCCUGGCAAGGCCGAAACGCGUCGUGGCGUGCCUUGCUCUUUACGUGUGUCCGGUGUCGCGUGGUGUACGUGUUGGGUCUCGUGUGCGUGUCGCGUUUCGUCUAUGUGGCGUGACGCUGUCACCUUGUACCGCCUCCCCAACCCACUCCGACUUUCCUGACUGACUGCUGAUGCACACCUCCGAACGAAAUGCGUGUUUCUUGCAUCCUGAAUGAUCCUUGAUACUGACUGGACUUCUACGGUGUGCACUUCAACUUCAACUUUUGCCCCACACUCAGAGCUUAUCACCAGCAGCAGACUCACCCCUCUUUGCAGUUGGUGUGCCACCCUGAACGAGGGAGCUUGGUGGUUGCAUCGAUGAGCGCGUAGGACUUCACGGGGCUUCCACCCCUGGUCCGAACGGGUUUUUCGCAUGGGCACUUGCACGCGCACCAGGGCAUAAGACUCCCUCACACCCCGUUUCCCCGAUCAACUUUCUACACGAGCAUGCAACACCAGGGUAUGCGGCCCAUGGCUGCUACCUUGCGUGUUUGCUGCAAUCUCCGUUUUGCACCAGCCUGAGCGCUCGGUUGCACUCUCCGGUAUUCAACUCUUCACCCCAUUGUGCAUCAUGGGGCCACUCCGUAACUCAACCAGUGCAAUGGUCGGCAAGUGUGUUAUGCCCGGCUUGCCUAUGUACCUGCACUUCGCACAGUGUGCUGGGUCGGCUUGCCUAUGAACCCGCAUUGUGCCUUCUUGCUACGUAACGGUUAUCAGUAUUCAUUAACGCUCUGGUAGUGGGUGGUGCUGUCUUGUCACGCGGCACCAUCCCUACCAACUCAGUUACUGUAACUGAAUUGGUGGUUGCCGUUUGACAGACGCACCGCGGGACCUCUGCGCAAUGGUGGGGUUGCGCAGCAGCAGCAGCAGCAGUAAGUCAUGGCGUGUGACUUAUUGCAUGCGCGCUGCAUCACAGUAUCAUGCAAGCCCUCGUGCUCUGUCUCCCUGUUUCUCGGUGUCUCCGUACUUGAUCGCGCUGAUGCAAACCCCGCAUGAAGAUCCCGCAAUGCUAUAAAUUUGCAACAUGUGACAUGGUGUAUUAACUAUAAUCGAAAGCCCCGCAAACUGUAUAUCCGCUCAAAGAUUACGCACUCACUCGCUCGCGGGUGCUUUCGCAACUUGGUAUUUAACUAAACGCUAUGAUACCGCUUACGAACAGAUAUACUCCAUCUUAACUAAGGCAUCUGCUCACGCUGGUGGCGAACCUUGCGAUCAUCCCGCCAAACUGGGCACUGCCGGCUUCACCGACUUUGGCACAUGGCUUCGCUAUACUCCUAUCGGGUUGUGGUGACGCGUGCUAGCGUGGCGACUCCGUCCGACGAUGCACUGGGCGCCGAUAGACCUGACCGUGCCCGCGUGUCUCGUUCCACGCUAAAGCCACCUGAUGAGGCCCUGGCAAGGCCGAAACGCGUCGUGGCGUGCCUUGCUCUUUACGUGUGUCCGGUGUCGCGUGGUGUACGUGUUGGGUCUCGUGUGCGUGUCGCGUUUCGUCUAUGUGGCGUGACGCUGUCACCUUGUACCGCCUCCCCAACCCACUCCGACUUUCCUGACUGACUGCUGAUGCACACCUCCGAACGAAAUGCGUGUUUCUUGCAUCCUGAAUGAUCCUUGAUACUGACUGGACUUCUACGGUGUGCACUUCAACUUCAACUUUUGCCCCACACUCAGAGCUUAUCACCAGCAGCAGCAGCAGCAGCAGCAGCAGCAGCAGCAGCAGCAGCAGGCGGCAG